GAAAUUAAAUUUUACAAUUCAUAUGAACCUGAAGAUGUUAAUCGAAACCGCCUAACGUGUUUCGGUUUUGUUAUACGGCUGCCUGUCACUGCCAGUGUCAACAACACAACUGUAAUCAAAUGCAUCGACCUGAAUAUUCUGUUCCAAAAUCAGAUUAUAAAAUCGACGAUAUCCGGGCUCUUUAACAUCCAAAAUUUUCUGCACUCAAUACACAAGGCUGUUAAAAGUUGACAUUUAAGAUCAUUUUUGUAAAAUGCGCCAGUUGAAAGGAAAAGUAAAAGAAAGCAAGAAAGAAAAAAGAGAAAGGAAGAAAGAUUUUGUUGAAAACAAGAAAAGAUUUUUUACUAUAGCUCUUCCUGUUAUCAUUGUUUUGAUAGCUAUACUUACCUUUUUCAUAUAUAUCAGUACAAGAGAUAAAAGGAGGAUAUGAAAUAAUUUUUUUGAUUGUAAAUUUACUUAUGCUAUACAAAUAUAUGGAGCAACAGUUGA